CCCAUACAGUUUGCCCCUCCUUUGCGUUUUAUGCUUAUUGUGAUCUCUAUAACACACAAAAGCAUAUAGAGUCUUUCCUAUAGUUAAAAAAAAAAAGUAACAUGUAAUUAAGUAACAUUCUUCCUGGACAGGGUCAUUUUAGCCACCUCUUCCUCUCAUCCCUUCUUCCUUUUGUUUCGAAGGCUCCCCAGGCCUGUGCCUCCAGGGGCCCGGUAAUUAAUAGGACUUUGUUCCCAGCAGGCCCUCUGGUCUCCUGGCCCACCUCCCUGAGUGAAGUAUUAGAACAAUCAGUGGGUCCAGGCGUUUUAUUCUCCCAUUCCCUGAGGGGCCUGUGGUCUCUGAGUUUCAGGCCUUGGAUUUCCAGAAAUCUUAGCUGAAGAAUCCUGGGUGGCCUAACCGGCCAUCUCUGCUUUAAGUGCUGUAGAGCUGAGAGCAAAGCGCAUUGCUGGAGGAGCGGAAAAAACUGCCCACCAGCUGGGAUGCGGAGAGAAGUUCCACCCUGGGUUACAGGAUUCCUGGAAAGAUGCUGUCCAGAACCAGUGCCAUGCUCUUUGUAGGACUAACUAGGUACUGAUGUGUCAGUGACAUCUGGUUUUCCCUGGAGAUGUUUACAUGCAACUGUUCUAUGAAAUCAGUCCACCAUGCAAACUCAUCUUACUGAGAAAAUGUGUGCAGAUGAUUUAACUUAAUGACUUCGUUGAAUUGAAUGUCUUCCAGUAGCAUAGUAAUGUGUUUUGAGAAAUUUUGAAAGAGAGAGAGAGGAAAAGCUGGUUUCCCAUCUCAUUCAAAUAAUUUUCCAUUCCUCAGGGGGAGAAAGGAAAGUCUGAGAAUCCAGCAGACUAAGUGCAGGUUACCCAUUACUUCAUUUUAUAAUGUUUGGCAAGGAAAACAUGUAAGUCGGUUAAAUCUGUUUAUUUGGCUCUUCAGGGCAUUCCAUGUGGACGGGACCUGGGUUGGUGGGGACAGUGUGAUGUUCUGCUGAGAUGCCUUCCUGGCGAGAAGCAGGGCUGUGUUAUAAGCAGUCCCGACAACACCUGGACUCUAUAACGGGUUCAUUAGGGACUCAAGGGUUUACUUGAGCAUUGGUUUGCAGAAGCCCUUCCUGCAGAUGAAGAACCUGAGAAGCCCAUCACUGACUCCUCAAGCUGUGAAAAAGCUCUAUUUGGGGUCACCUGGGUUCAAUUCCCACUCCGCUCUUUGCCAGCUGGUGACUUGGGGCAAGUCAUGAAAUCUCUCUGUAUCCCGAGAAGCCUCUCUUUCAGAGGAUAGUUGUAAGGAUCACAUGAAACAGCAGAUGUAAAAGUGGCUUAUUACGGGUAAACGAUUAUAACAAUGCAUUCUAAAAUCAUGCCUCACACUGGCAGUAGAAAAACAUGUUUUUUGGAUAGAACACAAUAGUGGAGAGGGCAGAAGACGUAAAGUAUCAAGGAUUCUUUGAAGGAAAAUAUCAGUUUUCCAGCGCUAUUCUAAAAGGCAUGAUGGGUUCUUUUGAAAUGAUCACCUAAUAGGAAUCAGUCCAGUGGUUAGCAGGGGCCAUAUGUUAUAUUUGUACUCAGUGGAAGCAACCUCAGCAUGUCUUAGCAGAAGGUGAGAGAACAGAGGCUGUACUCGGCAUGUGAGGAGGACACUGCUAACAAUCUUCUCAGUUGAACGUGGACCCUGCUAGGUGCUGACUUGCAUCACCUCAUUUCUUCUCCAUAACCAUGGCUCUUUUGAUUGUUAUCUGCAUUUUACAGAGAGAAUUCUUGGAGAGGUUAAGAAACUUGUCCAAAUUUACACAGUUAGAAAGUAGCAGAAUGGGAAUCCAAAGUCAGGUCUGACUCAUUUUCCAACCCACACCCUUAACCCACUGUUAAAAGGAAAGAAAUACAGCAAGGCUGGUAGAGAAACUCUCUUUUCCUCUAUAAACUCUAUCAGGAGUAACCCCAGAAUUCCUUGGGAUCCCAUAGUAAAACACACUUAAAAAGGGAGGAGGAGAUUAUGUCAUGUGGCUGCAAUUAUUGCUUGUGAUUAGCUAGAAGCUUCGAUACCUCUGAGAACAUUUGGUCCUCAAGAAGGCCUCUGGACUCUCCCUUCUGAGAUUUCAGGACAGUUGCUCAAGUACAAGACUCUGCCUUCCGCGAGGACAGACAUGAUGCCUUUGGUGUCUAAGGAUUACCCUUCGGCAUCCAGCUCAGUGCCUCUUACAUCAUUAAAAAAAUACUUGGUGACCAGUAGAAUUAAUAGAAAUGAAAACACCCCAAUUCUCUCUAGACCCUGUCCUUUCAUCACAUCUAGAAAAGAAAACAAAAACAAAAAAACCAGCUCUGAUUUUUGUGACUCUGAGAACUUCUGUAGCUAAGCUCUGGAUCAACUUUGCUGGGCAGGCAAGGCCUACUUGGCCUCCACCUCUGUGGAGCAUGGCCCUUUCAGUCCCACUUCCUUCUCAUUUGAAAUGUCCAUUGAGUUCACUGCCAAUCUGGGGGAGGGAGCAGAUGCGACCGGAAGGGAAGCGGAGCUAUUGCUUUUCGUUCCUUUUGUCUUUUGCUCCUCCAUGAUUUUGUCUUGUUCUUUUCAAGUUGUGCUUACAAAUAAUGAAACAUGAAAGCCUUAACAAAAUGGAUGGAGAACACUUAUCUAACAGACCCCGAUUUAUACACGCCUAAGAGUUUCUUUGUGCUGAGUCUCUCUCUUUUUCUUUUUUUUCAUUCUUUGAUCAACUCCACACACAUUUGAAUCGUUGUGAAAGGUAUCCCCAAGGAGUUUUACUGGAGAGGAAAAAACAAUGAUGCCAGGAGGCAAGAGGCUGUUUCAUCUGGUGCAGAGGUAGAAAUCUUGUAUUGUUACCAGGAACAGGAGCCUGGGAUUGAAUUACUGAUGCAUAUUCAAUUGUGUGUGAGAAAGGUCUGGGUAAAGUUGAAGCUCCUAGGGCAAAAGAGAUGAUGCACAACUUGCUCCAGAAAGCUCAUAAUCUGCAGAAUGAAAUGACAAAUCUUUCUUCUUUGUGAAAGGAUUCUGAUCCAAGUAUUUAACACUAGACAUCAGUCAAGUCUUCACAGAAGCGAUUGUUUCCGCUUUCAUCUUUUACUCCAGUUGUUGGGAAGCCCACUUUCUUGUCUAUAGCAUCCUUUUCAGGCAGUUUCGUAGACCAUUUACAGAGUAGUACAGUGGAAAGACCCUCAUCCUAAAGAUCAAUCAGCCUCAGGCUUUUUGAUUUCACUAUUUGAAAGUGAAAGUGUUAGUCGCUCAGUUGUGUCUGACUCUGCAAUGCCAUGGACUGUAGGUAGCUUGCCAGGCUCCUCUGUCCAUGGGAUUAUCAGGCUAGAAUACUGGAGUGGGUUGCCAUUCCCUUCUCUAGGGGAUCUUCCUGACCCAGGGACUGAACUCAGGUCUCCUGCAUUGCAGGCAGUUUCUUUACU
ensembl:lncRNA